UACAGAGGUCCCAAGCGUUGUUCGGAUUCACUGGGCGUAAAGGGUGCGCAGGUGGGUUUGCAAGUUCGAUGUGAAAGCCCCGGGCUUAACCCGGGAAUGGCAUUGGAUACUGCAGAUCUGGAGGAUUGGAGGGGGGACUGGAAUUCUUGGUGUAGCAGUGAAAUGCGUAGAUAUCAAGAGGAACACCAGUGGCGAAGGCGAGUCCCUGGACAAUUCCUGACACUGAGGCACGAAAGCUAGGGGAGCAAACAGG
rnacentral:rRNA from 1 species